rnacentral:pre_miRNA from 1 species
UUCUAUUUUAUUCAUUGGGAAUAACAGGGAAAUACGUUAUUUCAAUUAGUUUUUCGUUUUCUCUUGUCAUUCCUAAUGGGUAAGAUGGAACAAAAA